CACAAGGAGAACCAGAGGGAACCUGUACUUACAGUACGCUGUGUUCAGCCCAGAGGUGAGAGCCAUUCAAAGCAAACUAACUGUGCUAUUGUGCCCAAGUUGAUACCUGUGGAGAGAAAAGGAGAGAGAGGGAAUAACACGAGGAGGAAUAGAGCGAACCCUGUACUUACAGUACGCUGUGUCCAGCCCAGAGGUGAGAGCCAUUCAAAGCAAACUAACUGUGCUAUUGUGCCCAAGUUGAUACCUGUGGAGAGAAAAGGAGAGAGAGUGAGUAACACGAGGAGAGACCGAGGAAACCUGUACUUACGCCGCUGCCUGUGGAGAAAGAGAAAGCGACCGUUGCCUGUGGAGGAAGAGAAAGAGAGUGAGCACCCCGAGAACGAACUGUGUGAACCAGUACUUACCGUGAGCUGUAUUCAGCGAAGAGGAGGAAGAAGGAGGGCGCUACGGAUACCUAAGACUCAGGCCGGGGCCCGAGUCCCACGCCCCGGAUCCCCGUGGCCCCCUUGCUCCCUGACCUCUUCCCGGCCAUAGCCCAUCUGGAGGGCCGAGUCAGAGUUUAGUUUUAAUUGCCCUUUCCCUAUUCCCCAAGCUAUUUUUAAAUAUUUAAAUAAAGAUUGUUUUAUCACUUACUUGUUCUCGUGUUGUUUGGCCAUUGGGUUGGCUUUGGGGACCUCCUCGAGGUGGAAGUUGAGAAGGGGUGUGGCUUAGUCAAAGCAUAGCCAGCCCCUGGGUGUGACAUUUAGUUUUCUUUUUUGUAGCGGUAUACAAAAUGUUUUAGUAUUUACUAAAAGUUAGAUAUACUUACUACAAAAUACUUUCUACAAAAUGCUAAUACUUAAAAUAUGUAGUUAAAU
rnacentral:lncRNA from 12 species